rnacentral:siRNA from 1 species
GACGGAUCGGAUCGGCCAGACGGA